GUGGGGAAUCUUCCACAAUGGACGAAAGUCUGAUGGAGCAACGCCGCGUGAGUGAAGAAGGGUUUCGGCUCGUAAAGCUCUGUUGUCGGGGACGAAUGUGCAGUAUUUGAAUAAAGUAGUGCAAUGACGGUACCUGAUGAGGAAGCCACGGCUAACUACGUGCCAGCAGCCGCGGUAAUACGUAGGUGGCAAGCGUUGUCCGGAAUUAUUGGGCGUAAAGGGAGCGCAGGCGGGAAGGUAAGUCGGUCUUAAAAGUGCGGGGCUCAACCCCGUGAUGGGAUCGAAACUAUCUUUCUUGAGUGCAGGAGAGGAAAGUGGAAUUCCUAGUGUAGCGGUGAAAUGCGUAGAUAUUAGGAGGAACACCAGUGGCGAAGGCGACUUUCUGGACUGUAACUGACGCUGAGGCUCGAAAGUCAGGGGAGCGAACGGGAUUAGAUACCCGGGUAGUCC
rnacentral:rRNA from 1 species